AGAGUUUGAUCCUGGCUCAGGAUGAACGCUAGCGGCAGGCCUAAUACAUGCAAGUCGAACGGUAAGUCCCGCUUCGGCGGGAACACGAGUGGCGCACGGGUGCGUAACGCGUAUGCAACCUACCUUUAACUGGGGAAUAGCCCCGAGAAAUCGGGAUUAAUACCCCAUAAUAAUAAAAUUUGACAUCAUUUUUUAUUUAAAGCUCCGGCGGUUAAAGAUGGGCAUGCGUGACAUUAGCUGGUUGGUGAGGUAACGGCUCACCAAGGCAACGAUGUCUAGGGGUUCUGAGAGGAUAACCCCCCACACUGGUACUGAGACACGGACCAGACUCCUACGGGAGGCAGCAGUGAGGAAUAUUGGUCAAUGGGCGAAAGCCUGAACCAGCCAUGUCGCGUGCAGGAUGACUGCCCUAUGGGUUGUAAACUGCUUUAAUACGGGAAUAACCCUUUCCACGUGUGGGAAGUUGAACGUACCGUAUCAACAAGGAUCGGCUAACUCCGUGCCAGCAGCCGCGGUAAUACGGAGGAUUCGAGCGUUAUCCGGAUUUAUUGGGUUUAAAGGGUGCGUAGGCUGUAUCAUAAGUCAGUGGUGAAAACCUUCAGCUCAACUGAAGAUGUGCCAUUGAAACUAUUUUACUUGAAUACAGAUGAAGUAGGCGGAAUACGAUAUGUAGCGGUGAAAUGCUUAGAUAUAUCGUGGAACACCGAUUGCGAAGGCAGCUUACUAAACUGUCAUUGACGCUGAUGCACGAAAGCGUGGGUAGCGAACAGGAUUAGGUACCCUGGUAGUCCACGCCGUAAACGAUGAUCACUCGAUGUGUGCGAUACAUUGUGCGCGUCUGAGCGAAAGCAUUAAGUGAUCCACCUGGGGAGUACGUCGGCAACGAUGAAACUCAAAGGAAUUGACGGGGGCCCGCACAAGCGGAGGAACAUGUGGUUUAAUUCGAUGAUACGCGAGGAACCUUACCUGGACUUAAAUGCACAUUGACCGGCAGAGAAAUUUGCUUUCCCUUCGGGGCAAUAUGCAAGGUGCUGCAUGGUUGUCGUCAGCUCGUGCCGUGAGGUGUCGGGUUAAGUCCCAUAACGAGCGCAACCCCUAUCGUUAGUUGCUAACAGUUAAAGCUGAGGACUCUAGCGAGACUGCCACCGUAAGGUGUGAGGAAGGUGGGGAUGACGUCAAAUCAGCACGGCCCUUACGUCCAGGGCUACACACGUGUUACAAUGGCCAGAACAAAGGGCAGCUACCUGGCAACAGGAUGCUAAUCUCCAAAACUGGUCCCAGUUCGGAUCGGAGUCUGCAACUCGACUCCGUGAAGUUGGAUUCGCUAGUAAUCGCGUAUCAGCAACGACGCGGUGAAUACGUUCCCGGGCCUUGUACACACCGCCCGUCAAGCCAUGGAAGCUGGGGGUGCCUGAAGGCUGUAACCGCAAGGAACGGUCUAGGGUAAAACUAGUAACUGGGGCUAAGUCGUAACAAGGUAACC
rnacentral:rRNA from 1 species